rnacentral:rRNA from 1 species
CGGGUGAGUAAUGUAUGGGGAUCUGCCUGAUGGCGGGGGAUAACUACUGGAAACGGUAGCUAAUACCGCAUAACGUCGCAAGACCAAAGAGGGGGACCUUCGGGCCUCUUGCCAUCGGAUGUGCCCAGAUGGGAUUAGCUAGUAGGUAAGGUAACGGCUUACCUAGGCGACGAUCCCUAGCUGGUCUGAGAGGAUGAUCAGCCACACUGGGACUGAGACACGGCCCAG